rnacentral:misc_RNA from 1 species
GGGGUGAAGUCGUAACAAGGUAGCCGUACCGGAAGGUGUGGCUGGAUCACCUCCUUAAAGGGAGACCUAAUUCCGGUAGGAGACGAAAAAAAAGUAGUCCCUACCAAGAAUCAAUCCCAAAAGGUCGGAACGAGGUAUGAGGCUUUCAAACUAGGUUCUGGGUUCAUAAAAGACCUGAAUCAGGAACAAGGGCUAUUAGCUCAGGUGGUUAGAGCGCACCCCUGAUAAGGGUGAGGUCCCUGGUUCGAGUCCAGGAUGGCCCACCUGCACAGGUGGCAAAAACAAGAGAAGCGAGGAAUCAGCACCUUAUCUUAUAUACAUAUAUAAGAGAGAAUGCUGGCUCUGAGUACAGAG